rnacentral:rRNA from 1 species
UACGUAGGGUGCAAGCGUUAAUCGGAAUUACUGGGCGUAAAGCGUGCGCAGGCGGCUUUGCAAGACAGAUGUGAAAUCCCCCGGGCUUAACCUGGGAACUGCAUUUGUGACUGCAUGGCUGGAGUGCGGCAGAGGGGGAUGGAAUUCCGCGUGUAGCAGUGAAAUGCGUAGAUAUGCGGAGGAACACCGAUGGCGAAGGCAAUCCCCUGGGCCUGCACUGACGCUCAU